rnacentral:rRNA from 1 species
AUUGAACGCUGGCGGAAUGCUUUACACAUGCAAGUCGAACGGCAGCAUAGGUGCUUGCACCUGAUGGCGAGUGGCGAACGGGUGAGUAAUACAUCGGAACGUGCCCAGUCGUGGGGGAUAACGUAGCGAAAGUUACGCUAAUACCGCAUACGAUCUAAGGAUGAAAGCGGGGGACCGUAAGGCCUCGCGCGAUUGGAGCGGCCGAUGUCAGAGUAGGUAGUUGGUGAGGUAAAGGCUCACCAAGCCGACGAUCUGUAGCUGGUCUGAGAGGACGACCAGCCACACUGGGACUGAGACACGGCCCAGACUCCUACGGGAGGCAGCAGUGGGGAAUUUUGGACAAUGGACGCAAGUCUGAUCCAGCCAUUCCGCGUGCAGGACGAAGGCCUUCGGGUUGUAAACUGCUUUUGUACGGAACGAAAAAGCUCUUACUAAUACUAGGAGUCCAUGACGGUACCGUAAGAAUAAGCACCGGCUAACUACGUGCCAGCAGCCGCGGUAG